GGUUAAGCGACUAAGCGUACACGGUGGAUGCCCUGGCAGUCAGAGGCGAUGAAGGACGUGCUAAUCUGCGAUAAGCGUCGGUAAGGUGAUAUGAACCGUUAUAACCGGCGAUUUCCGAAUGGGGAAACCCAGUGUGUUUCGACACACUAUCAUUAACUGAAUCCAUAGGUUAAUGAGGCGAACCGGGGGAACUGAAACAUCUAAGUACCCCGAGGAAAAGAAAUCAACCGAGAUUCCCCCAGUAGCGGCGAGCGAACGGGGAGCAGCCCAGAGCCUGAAUCAGUGUGUGUGUUAGUGGAAGCGUCUGGAAAGGCGCGCGAUACAGGGUGACAGCCCCGUACACAAAAAUGCACAUACUGUGAGCUCGAUGAGUAGGGCGGGACACGUGGUAUCCUGUCUGAAUAUGGGGGGACCAUCCUCCAAGGCUAAAUACUCCUGACUGACCGAUAGUGAACCAGUACCGUGAGGGAAAGGCGAAAAGAACCCCGGCGAGGGGAGUGAAAAAGAACCUGAAACCGUGUACGUACAAGCAGUGGGAGCACGCUUCGGCGUGUGACUGCGUACCUUUUGUAUAAUGGGUCAGCGACUUAUAUUCUGUAGCAAGGUUAACCGAAUAGGGGAGCCGAAGGGAAACCGAGUCUUAACUGGGCGUUAAGUUGCAUGGUAUAGACCCGAAACCCGGUGAUCUAGCCAUGGGCAGGUUGAAGGUUGGGUAACACUAACUGGAGGACCGAACCGACUAAUGUUGAAAAAUUAGCGGAUGACUUGUGGCUGGGGGUGAAAGGCCAAUCAAACCGGGAGAUAGCUGGUUCUCCCCGAAAGCUAUUUAGGUAGCGCCUCGUGAAUUCAUCUCCGGGGGUAGAGCACUGUUUCGGCAAGGGGGUCAUCCCGACUUACCAACCCGAUGCAAACUGCGAAUACCGGAGAAUGUUAUCACGGGAGACACACGGCGGGUGCUAACGUCCGUCGUGAAGAGGGAAACAACCCAGACCGCCAGCUAAGGUCCCAAAGUCAUGGUUAAGUGGGAAACGAUGUGGGAAGGCCCAGACAGCCAGGAUGUUGGCUUAGAAGCAGCCAUCAUUUAAAGAAAGCGUAAUAGCUCACUGGUCGAGUCGGCCUGCGCGGAAGAUGUAACGGGGCUAAACCAUGCACCGAAGCUGCGGCAGCGACACUAUGUGUUGUUGGGUAGGGGAGCGUUCUGUAAGCCUGUGAAGGUGUACUGUGAGGUAUGCUGGAGGUAUCAGAAGUGCGAAUGCUGACAUAAGUAACGAUAAAGCGGGUGAAAAGCCCGCUCGCCGGAAGACCAAGGGUUCCUGUCCAACGUUAAUCGGGGCAGGGUGAGUCGACCCCUAAGGCGAGGCCGAAAGGCGUAGUCGAUGGGAAACAGGUUAAUAUUCCUGUACUUGGUGUUACUGCGAAGGGGGGACGGAGAAGGCUAUGUUGGCCGGGCGACGGUUGUCCCGGUUUAAGCGUGUAGGCUGGUUUUCCAGGCAAAUCCGGAAAAUCAAGGCUGAGGCGUGAUGACGAGGCACUACGGUGCUGAAGCAACAAAUGCCCUGCUUCCAGGAAAAGCCUCUAAGCAUCAGGUAACAUUAAAUCGUACCCCAAACCGACACAGGUGGUCAGGUAGAGAAUACCAAGGCGCUUGAGAGAACUCGGGUGAAGGAACUAGGCAAAAUGGUGCCGUAACUUCGGGAGAAGGCACGCUGAUAUGUAGGUGAAGUCCCUCGCGGAUGGAGCUGAAAUCAGUCGAAGAUACCAGCUGGCUGCAACUGUUUAUUAAAAACACAGCACUGUGCAAACACGAAAGUGGACGUAUACGGUGUGACGCCUGCCCGGUGCCGGAAGGUUAAUUGAUGGGGUUAGCGGUAACGCGAAGCUCUUGAUCGAAGCCCCGGUAAACGGCGGCCGUAACUAUAACGGUCCUAAGGUAGCGAAAUUCCUUGUCGGGUAAGUUCCGACCUGCACGAAUGGCGUAAUGAUGGCCAGGCUGUCUCCACCCGAGACUCAGUGAAAUUGAACUCGCUGUGAAGAUGCAGUGUACCCGCGGCAAGACGGAAAGACCCCGUGAACCUUUACUAUAGCUUGACACUGAACAUUGAGCCUUGAUGUGUAGGAUAGGUGGGAGGCUUUGAAGUGUGGACGCCAGUCUGCAUGGAGCCGACCUUGAAAUACCACCCUUUAAUGUUUGAUGUUCUAACGUUGACCCGUGAUCCGGGUUGCGGACAGUGUCUGGUGGGUAGUUUGACUGGGGCGGUCUCCUCCUAAAGAGUAACGGAGGAGCACGAAGGUUGGCUAAUCCUGGUCGGACAUCAGGAGGUUAGUGCAAUGGCAUAAGCCAGCUUGACUGCGAGCGUGACGGCGCGAGCAGGUGCGAAAGCAGGUCAUAGUGAUCCGGUGGUUCUGAAUGGAAGGGCCAUCGCUCAACGGAUAAAAGGUACUCCGGGGAUAACAGGCUGAUACCGCCCAAGAGUUCAUAUCGACGGCGGUGUUUGGCACCUCGAUGUCGGCUCAUCACAUCCUGGGGCUGAAGUAGGUCCCAAGGGUAUGGCUGUUCGCCAUUUAAAGUGGUACGCGAGCUGGGUUUAGAACGUCGUGAGACAGUUCGGUCCCUAUCUGCCGUGGGCGCUGGAGAACUGAGGGGGGCUGCUCCUAGUACGAGAGGACCGGAGUGGACGCAUCACUGGUGUUCGGGUUGUCAUGCCAAUGGCACUGCCCGGUAGCUAAAUGCGGAAGAGAUAAGUGCUGAAAGCAUCUAAGCACGAAACUUGCCCCGAGAUGAGUUCUCCCUGACUCCUUGAGAGUCCUGAAGGAACGUUGAAGACGACGACGUUGAUAGGCCGGGUGUGUAAGCGCAGCGAUGCGUUGAGCUAACCGGUACUAAUGAACCGUGAGGCUUAACCUU
rnacentral:rRNA from 1 species